rnacentral:pre_miRNA from 1 species
UAUUUCAUGAAGGUUACCUUGUACUUCUGGCUACAAGUAUCCUUCUUGAUAAGC